CCUACGGGGGGCAGCAGUGAGGAAUAUUGGUCAAUGGACGAGAGUCUGAACCAGCCAAGUAGCGUGAAGGAUGACUGCCCUAUGGGUUGUAAACUUCUUUUAUAAAGGAAUAAAACGAGGCACGUGUGCCUUUUUGCAUGUACUUUAUGAAUAAGGAUCGGCUAACUCCGUGCCAGCAGCCGCGGUAAUACGGAGGAUCCGAGCGUUAUCCGGAUUUAUUGGGUUUAAAGGGAGCGUAGAUGGGUUGUUAAGUCAGUUGUGAAAUUUUGCGGCUCAACCGUAAAAUUGCAAUUGAUACUGGCAGUCUUGAGUACAGUUGAGGUAAGCGGAAUUCGUGGUGUAGCGGUGAAAUGCUUAGAUAUCACGAAGAACCCCGAUUGCGAAGGCAGCUUACUAAACUGUGACUGACAUUGAUGCUCGAAAGUGUGGGUAUCAAACAGGAUUAGAUACCCCUGUAGUC
rnacentral:rRNA from 1 species